UCCAGGGUAGCCUAGUGGACAUGGCAUCUGCCCGGUAAGCGGAAGGUCGUGGGUUCGUUUCGCGCCCCUGGAC